rnacentral:tRNA from 1 species
GCCAAUGUAGCUCAGUGGUUAGAGCAUUGGCCCAUGCACCAAAGGUCUAGGGUUUGAUUCCUGGUCAAGGGCA